rnacentral:lncRNA from 1 species
UGCAUUCUGGUAAUAAACUCCAUGUGAUUAUAUAUAAUGCAUAAUUCUUUUUACAUAUUGCUGGAUUUGAUUGGCUAAAUUUUGGUGAGGAUUUUUGUUUCCAUGUUCGUGAGGAAUGUUGCUAUGUAGUUUAUUUUGUACUCUGUCUGGUUCAGGUAUUAGUGUGACACUGGCCUCAUAAAGUAAGUUGGGAAGUGUUCCUCCCUCUUACAUUUUCUGGAACAAACUGUGUAGAAUUGACGCCAGUGGUUUUUAAAUGUUUGGUUAAUAUCUCCAGUGAAACUAUCUGAACCUGGAGACUUCCUUUAUAGAAGGUUUUUCACUACAAAUUCAAGUUUUUUUAAUGGUUAUAGGACUACUCGUAUUAUUUCAUAUUGGGUAAAUUUGGAUAAUAUGUGCUUAUAAAACAGCUGGACUAUUUCAUGAAAGUUAUCAAAUUUAUAUGCAUAGAGUUGUUCAUAGUAUUCUCUUACUGUAUUUUCCUUUUAAUUUCUGCAGGAUCUGUAAUGAUAUUCCUGGUUUCAUUCUUGAUACAGUUUUUGUUCCUGUUUCCCAUUUCUCACCUUCCUGUGACAAACCAAGUCUGAAGAUUCAGCCGUACGUGGGAUCCUGCAGGGACAGCCUGCCCUAAAAGCCAAGAAGAGAAAAGGCUCAUGAGGUACAAGGUCUUUGGAAGGCUGUCGGGAUGGCCAGCAAGCCAACAGGACUUACUAGUUCAUGAAGACACGACUCAGCUGUGUUCAGUUACCUCCUCAAUCCACCCAUCCCUCUCCCUUGAACACACACACCACUCGCAUAAACUCACUUUGCUAAUCUAUAAGGAAAUCUGUAAGGGAAUGACGUAAGAUGGGCAAGAGGAUUCACACUUGAAUCUAGAGACCAAUGUCCCCCAGUUAGAACCUGCAUAUUUAAGCUCUUCUAUGUCUUCUUGAGCUAAUAAAAGCUUUGUGUUACGUGCAGCAGGUAAGUGGUAGAUAACUACUCAUUCCUCAGGACAUGCUACUUUACCGUCUCUUCCAUGACACCCUUCCUGCCCCUCCUCGACAGUCAGUCCCACAGGGCCCCAGACAGCCUGCCAUCCCAGCAAGCUUACACCUCACCACCUGCAUCUGUUUAAUUAGGCUCCUUCUAUGAGGCUCUCUCCUUCCUAAGCACAGGGACUGUAUUUCCUCCUUUUUGAUUUCCCAGCCCUUAGGCCAGGGCUUGGCACAUAAAAGUGUGGCACUUAACGUUAUGAAAAGGAAGAAGGAAGAGACUGGAAGGCAAGAGGACAGAGCAAGCCAAGGAGGCAGGGAGUGGAGCCAAGAGAAACUGAAAACCUACACCCACCUAUCUAUGGAGCUGAUCCACAGCUGGGAAAAACAAGUGUUGUGAAUCGAUGGGCUAUUCCUAUGCACUGCACAAAACUACUCAAGUAUAGUUAAAAAGCAACUGUGCAGUAGCACAUACUACAAAUGGAAUGCUACACACAUUCAUUCAUUCAUGAAACUGCUGUAGGGAUGGAGAAUUUCAGGGAAAAGGUUUUUCAGGAGAUGGGAGAUUUGAAGCAAAGAUGGUGCUUCUGACAACCUGGACUUUGACUCUGCUUUCUCCUGCCAGAGGACAGCAUUGCCUUGCUGGUGUUAAGUUUGAUUUAAGAACCCAAAUCAAUGACUUUCAGAAAAAAUUCCUCCGAAGGAAGCACACAGCACAAGUUCUCUCAAAUAAUCAGGUAAACUCAAGUAUAGAAGGAUAAUGAUAUAGGCAAGUAUUCACCAGUUCUCGCAAUUCUGGGAGGCCCAUAGAGAACUCUGAGUUCCACCAGUCACUCUAUCCCCAAUCAAGAUGCCAGGGAUAUCGCACACCAUGCUGUUGCUGUUCCUGCCGUCCCACUUCAGUAGGGAGUUUCUGUAUGUUUUACUUUAAAAAAUGGGAACCUACAUACAGUAUAUAGAAGUAUGUGCAUAAUGAUCUCCCUCUAACCCCAACCAUUAUUUUCAAGGAUAAAAAAUACAUUCAGGCCAGGCAUGGUUGCUCACACUUUGGGAGGCCAAGGCAGGUGGAUCACCUGAGGUCAGGAGUUCGAGACCAGCCUUGGCAAAUGGUGAAACCCCAUCUCUACUAAAAAUACAAAAAUUAGCCAAGUGUGGUGGCAGGAACCUGUAAUCUCAGCUACUUGGGAGGCUGAGGCAGGAGAACUGCUUGAACCUGAAUGGUGGAGGUUGCAGUAAGCCAAGAUCACGCCACUGCACUCCAGCCUGGGCAACAGUGCAAGACUCCGUCUCAAAAAAAAAAGUUCAGAGCGCAGUGGAAAAAUCCUUCUCUGGGGUGGCCCUCCUGAUAAAGUUGGGGUCAAAUGAAGAAAAAAGCGAGUCCCAGACUAGGAAUAAAGGGAAUACCAGAGUAAGGAAGCCCCAUGUGCAAAUGCACUGACACGGAACCCAAUAGGCCACAGAAGCUGAGGAGAGACUAGGCCACAGAACUAACUGGAAGGGCUGUGGGGGCUGCUGGCUUGGUACCACCAGGAAGCCUGGGUUCAUAUUCCUAGGAUGGGAAAAUAUUCAUCAAACAGCGGCGGAAGAUGGUUCUGGGAGGAGAGGAGGCUGAAUACUGGCAAGAAUAACAAAGAACUGGCAACUUCUAUCCUAUUACUAUGAUCACAGGGCAAGAGGUAAUUUCUUUAGUACUAAUCUAAUCUCUGAAUGUGUGAAGGGGAGAGGCUGCCUCACCUGGAGAGAUCCCAAACUGACAAGACAAUAGUCCCUUCCUGGAUGAAUGCUAAACAAGACAAUAGUCCCUUCCUGGAUGAAUGCUAAACAAGACAAUAGUCUCUUCCUGGAUGAAUGCUAAAAUGCCAGCCCCCUUUACUCUACCACAUUGAUACCCAAUCUACCUCCCAAACUGGUUGAUUUUUCCUGCUAUGUAUGUCUUGAAUGCAUACUCUUCUCUCCAUCUUCCCCCACUGCUUUUGUCUGAACCAUCACCAUCUCUGAUCUGCGCCCUAUCACAGCUUUCUAACUGGCCUCCCCGAUUCACCUCCCAAUCAAACUGUUCUUUAAAGCGAAUGAUUUUUCUUUUCCAAAAUACCAAACCUAUGUCAUUCUCCUGCUUCAAACCUUUUCAUGGCUUCCUACUAUUCUGAGGAUAAAAAUGAAAAUCCUCACCCUGGUCCAUGAGGCCCUGCAGUAUCUGGCCCCAGCCUACCUCUCCAGCCUUGUCCACUCCUCAUUCCUGUGCUCUAGGCACACUGGUCUUUUUCCAUCCUUCUGAAAGAACCAUGCUACCUCCUACCAGGGGGCCAUUCCAUCUGCUGUUCCCUUUGUCCAGAAGAGUCUUCCCACCCUCAGCCUCCAUCUCCUCAUCCUUCCAAUCCCAGCUAAAGUCACUUCUUCUGAAAGGCAUCCUCUAUUUUCUCAGACUAGAUUUACCUGCCUCCAAAAGAUUUCACAGCACCAUGAAUCCUUUAUAGCACUCACCACAAUCAGUAAUUACACAUUAGUUUUUUUAUUUAUGUAGUGAAUAUAAAUGCUCACCAUUUUAUCCUCAGGGCCUAUAACAUGACCUGGCUGGCAUAUAGUGAACUCUCAAUAAUUAUUUGUUGGUCAAGUGAGGAGGCCCUUGCCUAUAGUCCCAGCACUUUGGGAGGCUGAGACGAGGGGAUCACCUGAGCCCAGGAGUUAGAGACCAGCCUGAGCAACACAAUGAGAUCCCAUCUCUAGAAAAUAAUUUAAAAUUAGCUGAGUGUGGUGGCUCACACCUGUAAUUCCAGCACUUUGGGAG